UUAUGUCAGGAUAACUUUAUGUCAGGAUGUGAUUCGACUAACCCAUGUGCUUAUCAAUUAUAAUUUUUGAUUUUUUAUUAAAAUAUUUGAUUUAAUAUUUUAGAUCUCAUCUAAAUUUUAGACCAAAGCACAAAAAAAUCAAAUUCAAAUAAAACAGAAAAUUAGAUCUAAUCUAGCAAUCAUGCUAAUUUGAAAACAUAAAAUUCAGUUCACAUCUAAACUUCAUAUACAAUGGAUAAACAUAAAUUUUCAGAUCUAAUAUGAAAUAGAGAUCUAAUCAUAAGCAAAAUAAUUCAGAUAUAAUCUGAAUCCCAGAUCUAAGAACAUAAUUAUGCAACCUUUGCUCUGAUAUCAAUUAAAGGAAAAACUAAGGUAGCAUGUAUGAUAGUACAACAAAAAAUUUUAUACACGCAGCAAAAAUGAUUUAUUCUAACAUGCAUCUUCUAAAUCUUAUCUCAUGAGAUCAUUUCUAUCAUGUUCUUAAGAUCUAUAAGCAGCAAAUAAAAUUAUCAAACAUAAGCAUGAAGAUCUCAUCUUUAAUUUUGUUUGGGUAGAUAUACACUGCAGUUUGAUGAUCGUAGAUUUGAAGUUGCUUGAAGAGCCGUGCACGUGUCCGGCCUCUACAGGUAUCCACAGGAAAGCUCUAGGAUGCUUCCUCACGAAUUUGAUCCUUCUCCAAGAUGGAUCGGCAAACUUUGAUCUCAAUUUGGAUCUCUUCUUCGUCUUCUUCCUUCACGUAGAAACUUAUGAUUCAACCCUUGAAGUCUGAAGAGCAGCACCCAACUCCUUGGGUGUGGAAGAAGGUUGGACGCCCAACCCUUGGGUGUGGGAACUCUAGGGAGAGAGGGAGGAUGUAGAAGAGGAAAGAGAGGGGGCUUAGAAGAGGCUAGGGGGCGUGAAACUUGAGAUGCUUUGACCUCUUGGUGAGGGGGUCUUUAAACAGGCAUGAAUCUUAGGAUUUUUGGGCUUUUGAUCCUGUCAGAGUCCAGUUGCACUGGGACUUCUCUUUUGACCAUAUCUUUGCCUCUAUUGGACUCUAAAUCAAAUUCAAUUUGGACUUGAGUUCUUUUGACCCAAUCAAAGUGGGGCGUGGCUCCUCUUAUCCUUAUCUAUAUGGGUGGCACUAAUUUAGCCACAACUUGGAUCAAAUCCAAGUCCUACAAGGAGAUCCAAUUUUAAUUAGUUGCUUUUAAUUAGAUCCUUAUCCCAUAAGGAUUUCAAAAUCAAUUUAGAGUUUGGGUUUCCAACUUUUGGUGCCCACUAGCUUGCUUUGACUUGAUCAAGUUUUUAUUUAAUAAGGAACACAAAUUCAAGUCAUACGAGAAAUUGAGUUUAAUCAUGUGCUAGCAUAGUAUUUUUAAAUCUAAUAGAAUUUCAUCAAAUCUUAAUUUAAUUGAGAUUUUAUGAGCUCAAUUGAACUAUCCUAGACCAAUUCUCUUUAUGUGUGAUCUUUUAGAUUCAAUUCUAUCUGGUAGUGAGAUAUAUUGUGAUCUAUAUCAAUAAUAUUAUUGAAACUUCUUUCAAUGGAUUGGAACACCUUUCAAUUCAGUCAAUUGAGAAUUAUUUAUCACCGAAUAAUUUUCAUUGGUCUUAUAAUCCAUCAGUGACACUAGCAGUAUGUAGUGGCAAUCUGGCAGGAUUGAAUAAUUAACCUCUAGGUGCAGUUAUCAUGUGAUUCGAUCCUUCUAUCGUGAGUCCCAACGUAAUGGAGAUCAUGAAUAACCCGUCAAAUCCUACAUCAAGCAUAUGUAAAAUUCAAUCGAUUCGAGUUCACAAAUGAAACCUUAUGAAAAUUUCUUUCAAUCAUUCACUCUGUCAUGAUCAUGGACUUCUGAACUUAGUUUCAUAAAUUACAUAAGACUUUUUUUCUGUCAAGGUCGAUAGAUCUCAUCUAGAUGCAAUCUAUUUCUACGAUAAACUUACCGCAGCCAGCCAAUAUGCACCGCUAGAUUAACAGCCUCUCUAUUUAAUGAACCUACUCCAACGUGCAUAUAUCUAACAGCCUCUCCAUUAAAUGCCUGUUACCAAGGUAAACAGUUGUAUUGCUUCCUCAUGUGACUGACUAAACCGAAUUUCUAAUUAUUGUAUCCAACUAGAGUCCAGGUUCAUGCUAGUGGACUUGGAAUCCAAUUGUUUGGUUUGCUAUUACUCAGUAGUUUCCUUGCCAUCAUUAUCCAGAAUAUUGUGAGAAGUAUGCAAAGCCUGAAGACGCUGGUGCUCCCAAAGAAGACAUAUCAAGUGAUGAAGAGCUAAGUGAAGAUGAAUAUGACUCCAGUGACGAGGCGGUGGUUGGCAAGCCAGAUCCUUGAGGGUAAACUUAUUUGGUUGGCUGAUUCCCUUGUACAUGUUUCAAUUUCUGACAAAGUAAACUGGAUUCUCUGUCAGCUUCCUGUGUCACUGUAAAUGAAU
rnacentral:lncRNA from 1 species